UAUACGUAUUAAAAGGAUUCCCACACCCCUGGUUAAAAUGAUGGUGUUACAACUCUCCCUUAUAUAGUUUAUUAGUUCAUGUGCGGUGUGGUUAAAACUCGCUUUCUCUGCCUCGAGUUGUCUCAUCUCUCACUCCAGCUGCAGCACAGAGCACUGCACGCAUGCCUUGCAAGCCCAGUUUAUCCUGUAACCUGAAGACACAAGCUGCGUCUGAAAACUGGAAAAUUCUGCCUUCGGAGGCUGAACAAGGAUGGAUGAAGUACCAACAAUAUUCUAUCCGUUUGGCUCAAGAGACACUCAAGUAACUAUUGGUGAUACAAGCAACAAUCUUACCCUGUCCAGUCCAUUUACAUUCUUCGGGCGUACACACUGGCAAAUAUAUGUUAAUAAUAAUGGACUCCUUACAUUCAGCCAACCUAUAAAUGAAGCUGACCCUUACCCCUUACCGACCAAUGGGAGCGAAGAUUUAAUUGCUCCUCUCUGGACUGAUCUUGACGACUACGUUAGUGGUGUGUACUCAUAUAAUCAGUAUUCAACGGGAAGUGUGCUCACUUGGGCCACACAGGAUAUACAACAGCAUUUCCCUGAUCUGAGCUUCGUUGCGACUUGGGUAUUUGUUGCAAAUUGAGACUUGCAGACUUCAGGCACAACAAUAUAAUUGGACUUCAAGUGAGACUUACCUCAUUGUUAAACCUAACCGAGAAUGGAAACAUUCAAAUCAUUUUAGAUAAACUAAAACAGGAGCUGAUCAAACAUGGUCUUCCGAACACCACAGAGGUGAAGUUAAGAAGUCUUCAAAAGACAAAGCCGUAAUAUCAGUCUCAUAGGGAAAUAAAACAGAAACAUCUCAGACACCAAAUUCCCCAGCCAUUGAAGAUGUAAAAACUGAUAAAGAGAAAGGAGUGUUGCUCCUCAGAAAGUGUUAACCCUUUAAGUCUCUUUCUGUCUUUCACACACAUUUGGACAACGUGCAUACUACACAUCCACACACAAAUCAGCUCUGAGGUUCAAAAAACAAAUAUAAAUGUUCAUUUUAUAUUUAAACAUACAUUACAUAAUUACAUCAGUUAGUUCUGGUCCUCUAAUCUGAUUUGAUGAUAAACGUCCCACAAGUGCUGAUAUUUAGUAUCACAGCACUGUGAUGUUUCACAAUUUGUAUAACUCUGCUUAUCUGUGUUCAUGUCAUUCCAGACCAGAGUAUGUGAGUGGUGUCGGUAAAAGGAAGCGGGAAGUGGAGUUGUAUGAUUUUUGCUCAGAGCAGAGAUGGUGACAUCCAGAACACCGGCAUGUCUUAUCACAAUUGACGGCACGUUAUUAAAUAAGGCGCAAGUCCAAUCGAGACAUGAGUUCAUCCAUCAGAUCAUAAUUAACCGACAGUGGCUUUGAAUGCUUUUUAACUGAGUGCAGGCGCAACAUUUGUGUCGAGCGACUCACUCCCCCGUCACGAGCAACUCCGGUGGAAGACAGCGGCUGGAUCUUUGGAUGAUACAACUCAUUUCCCCAUCUCCUGCGUUGUGGAAACCAGAAAUCUGAUAUAGAGGGAAACCCCAUGUGACGAGGAGGGCGGGGCUGGGCCGUGACUACGCACACCUGGCCCCCAAUUGGGCUAAUCAGCCGAGGAGAGGGA